UCGAACGGACUCAUAUUGAAACCUAGUGAUUUAUGAGUUAGUGGCGGACGGGCGAGUAACGCGUGGAAAACCUGCCGUAUACCGGGGGAUAACACUUAGAAAUAGGUGCUAAUACCGCAUAAGCGCACAGCUUCGCAUGAAGCAGUGUGAAAAACUCCGGUGGUAUACGAUGGUUCCGCGUCUGAUUAGCUAGUUGGCGGGGUAACGGCCCACCAAGGCAGCGAUCAGUAGCCGGCCUGAGAGGGUGAACGGCCACAUUGGGACUGAGACACGGCCCAAACUCCUACGGGAGGCAGCAGUGGGGAAUAUUGCACAAUGGGGGAAACCCUGAUGCAGCGACGCCGCGUGAGUGAAGAAGUAUUUCGGUACGUAAAGCUCUAUCAGCAGGGAAGAAAAUGACGGUACCUGACUAAGAAGCCCCGGCUAACUACGUGCCAGCAGCCGCGGUAAUACGUAGGGGGCAAGCGUUAUCCGGAUUUACUGGGUGUAAAGGGAGCGUAGACGGUGAAGUAAGUCUGGAGUGAAAGGCGGGGGCCCAACCCCCGGACUGCUCUGGAAACUAUUUGACUGGAGUGCAGGAGAGGUAAGCGGAAUUCCUAGUGUAGCGGUGAAAUGCGUAGAUAUUAGGAGGAACACCAGUGGCGAAGGCGGCUUACUGGACUGUAACUGACGUUGAGGCUCGAAAGCGUGGGGAG
rnacentral:rRNA from 1 species